UGACUAGUGAAUACAUAGCUAGCAAGAGGUAGACGCAGUGAACUGAAACAUCUUAGUAGCUGCAGGAAGAGAAAGAAACAUCGAUUCCCUGAGUAGCGGCGAGCGAAAAGGGAAGAGCCCAAACCAACAAGCUUGCUUGUUGGGGUUGUAGGACUGAACAUUAGAGUUACCAAAGUGCGACGUAGUCGCAACAGUUGGGAAGCUGUGCCAUAGAGGGUGAAAGCCCCGUAGACGAAACGUCACACUCUCUGUUCAG
rnacentral:rRNA from 1 species